rnacentral:rRNA from 1 species
CCGUUAACGAACGAGACCUUUUCCUGCUAAAUAGAACUACUCAGUUUUACUGUGCAUGUUCUUCUUAGAGGGACUUUUGACGUUUAGUCAUAGGAAGCUUGAGGCAAUAACAGGUCUGUGAUGCCCUUAGAUGUUCUGGGCCGCACGCGCGUUACACUGAUGAAGUCAGCGAGUAUUCUCCUUGGCCGAAAGGUCCGGGUAAUCUUAUGAAACUUCAUCGUGCUGGGGAUAGAGCAUUGUAAUUUUUGCUCUUCAACGAGGAAUAUCUAGUAAGCGCAAGUCAUCAACUUGCGUUGAUUACGUCCCUGUUCUUUGUACACACCGCCCGUCGCUAGUACCGAUUGAAUGGAU